rnacentral:rRNA from 1 species
ACUCCUACGGGAGGCAGCAGUGGGGAAUAUUGGACAAUGGGCGAAAGCCUGAUCCAGCCAUGCCGCGUGUGUGAAGAAGGUCUUCGGAUUGUAAGCACUUUAAGUUGGGAGGAAGGGCAGUUACCUAAUACGUGAUUGUUUUGACGUUACCGACAGAAUAAGCACCGGCUAACUCUGUGCCAGCAGCCGCGGUAAUACAGAGGGUGCAAGCGUUAAUCGGAAUUACUGGGCGUAAAGCGCGCGUAGGUGGUUAGUUAAGUUGGAUGUGAAAUCCCCGGGCUCAACCUGGGAACUGCAUUCAAAACUGACUGACUAGAGUAUGGUAGAGGGUGGUGGAAUUUCCUGUGUAGCGGUGAAAUGCGUAGAUAUAGGAAGGAACACCAGUGGCGAAGGCGACCACCUGGACUGAUACUGACACUGAGGUGCGAAAGCGUGGGGAGC